rnacentral:misc_RNA from 1 species
AAGCUCUUUAAGCUUUUCCAGUGAUUUAAGAUGAUACCGGGGAAGGUUUUCCGGUUUAUCCCGGAGGGCUUGUAGCUCAGUUGGUUAGAGCGCGCGCUUGAUAAGCGUGAGGUCGGAGGUUCAAGUCCUCCCAGGCCCACCAAUUUAUGCUCGUUUUUUCUUAUUCUUGAGAGUUAUGGAUCUUAAGCCUAUGAAAGCCUCUUUAAUCUUUAGUUUGUUGCAAAAGAUUUUAUUUUAUCCUUCAAAAAUUGUUUGUUGAAUUUAUCUCAUUACGUUUGUCAAACAGGACUUCAAGUUCCCUUCAAGGGGAGAUAAAUUUAAAGGAUAAGAAUCAAAAAAUGAUGCAAAUUAAUACAAGUCAAUACGAGUCAAAAUGGUAUCUCUCAAAAGAGGAUAACUCAUUCAAGUUGAUGAAUUUUCUUGAGGUUGAUUUGAGAGGCAUUCUUUAGGGGCCGUAGCUCAGCUGGGAGAGCACCUGCUUUGCAAGCAGGGGGU